CUCGACUGCAAAGCCCUGGGCUGAGGCCAGCACUGCCCCUCUUGUCACAGCAGAAGACAAAGAAGGAGACGCAGCUGCUUCUCCCGUGGCUCGGGACCCUCAGCACCAGGUGCCCGCUGAGCACAGAGAUGAGGCACAGCCCUCUUAUUGCUGCAGGUACAUGGCCCAGGAUGCCCCAGGCAUCGUCACCCUCCCGCACGCCCCGGUUCAAAAGCGACAGCCCUCCCGCUUCAGGAGGGUGCUCAGGGCUCUGCGCAGGGCUUUCCGCUGCUCCUGCAUCAUGGGGCAGAAGGAGCAGUAGUGCCCUGCUGCCAGUGCCAGGCAGGUCCCUAGAGACUGCAGCUGGCCCUGAGCCUGCACAGCCUCCAGAGGGAGCGGCACAGGCCAGCACACAAGGGAUGGGUGCAUGGACACAGCAUUCCGCUGCCCUGAGGAUAUCGUGCUACCAGCCUCCACUUGGCCAUGGAUGGUCUACCACACUUCACUCCAUUGUUCCUAAGGCGCAGCUUCAGGAUAUCUCCCUGUGACCCUCCAAAUUUCUGCGCACAGAUUAUCGAGAAUGGGGAGGAGCAUGGAUGAUCUCCAUGAAGUAGCAAAGCUCUUCAACAUCCAUGAAGACUAAACUCCAGAAUGGGAAGACUGCAAGGCAGCGGCGGACGCCGGCUGCGUGCACCCCUUCAUCUCGGACAACUUCCUCCAAGUACUUGUGAAUAUUCCCAGUCACCUAGAGUUCCAA